CUGAGAUGAUACUGGUUUAUGAAUUAUUGGAAAAGGGGACUUUGAGAGACCAUCUAUACAAUUGGAAAGACAACUCCAAGAGUUCGUUUAUGCAAUCUGAAUUGUCUUGGAAGCAAAGGCUUGAAAUUUGUGUUGGCACGGCUAAGGGCCUUCAUUACCUUCACACUGUUUCAGAUGGGGGAAUCAUUCACCGAGAUGUAAAAUCAACAAACAUUUUGCUCGAUGAGUAUUAUGUGGCCAAAGUUGCUGAUUUUGGUCUUUCACAGUCGGGUCCUUCUGAUCUAGAUCAUUUCAGCUUGGGAAUAAAAGGUAGUUUUGGUUAUUUUGAUCCUGAAUAUUUCAAAACUUGUCAGUUAACACAUAAAUCCGAUGUGUACUCUUUUGGUGUGGUACUUCUAGAAGUGCUUUGUGCUCGACCACCCAUUAUAAAUUCAUCUCAGAGGGAGGAAAUAAACUUAGCUGAAUGGGGAUUGUUUUGGCAAAAGAAAGGCAAACUCGAAAAAAUUAUUGAUCCUUCACUAGUGGGUCAUAUUAAUCCCCCG
rnacentral:misc_RNA from 1 species